UGGGGAAUUUUGCGCAAUGGGGGAAACCCUGACGCAGCAACGCCGCGUGGAGGAUGAAAUCCCUUGGGAUGUAAACUCCUUUCGAUCGGGAAGAUAAUGACGGUACCGAGAGAAGAAGCCCCGGCUAACUUCGUGCCAGCAGCCGCGGUAAUACGAGGGGGGCAAGCGUUGUUCGGAAUUAUUGGGCGUAAAGGGUGCGUAGGCGGUUUGAUAAGUUUGAUGUGAAAUCUCUGGGCUCAACCCAGAGUCUGCAUCGAAAACUGUCGGGCUUGAGUAUGGGAGAGGUGAGUGGAAUUUCCGGUGUAGCGGUGAAAUGCGUAGAUAUCGGAAGGAACACCUGUGGCGAAAGCGGCUCACUGGACCAUUACUGACGCUGAUGCACGAAAGCUAGGGGAGCAAACAGGAUUAGAUACCCCCGUAGUCC
rnacentral:rRNA from 1 species